GGGUCUGCGAUAGGUGGUGCAUGGCUGUCGUCAGCUCGUGUCGUGAGAUGUUGGGUUAAGUCCCGCAACGAGCGCAACCCUUUUCCUAUGUUACCAGCGGGUUAUGCCGGGGACUCGUAGGAGACUGCCGGGGUCAACUCGGAGGAAGGUGGGGAUGAGGUCAAGUCAUCAUGCCCCUUACGUCCAGGGCUGCACACAUGCUACAAUGGCCGGUACAAAGGGCUGCUAUUCCGCGAGGAUGAGCGAAUCCCAAAAAGCCGGUCUCAGUUCGGAUCGCAGUCUGCAACUCGACUGCGUGAAGUCGGAGUCGCUAGUAAUCCCGGAUCAGCAACGCCGGGGUGAAUACGUUCCCGGGCCUUGUACACACCGCCCGUCACACCACGAAAGUUGGCAACACCCGAAGCCAGUGGCCCAACCCUUUUGGGAGGGAGCUGUCGAAGGUGGGGUUAGCGAUUGGGGUGAAGUCGUA
rnacentral:rRNA from 1 species